AUUGAACGCUGGCGGAAUGCUUUACACAUGCAAGUCGAACGGCAGCACGGGAGCUUGCUCCUGGUGGCGAGUGGCGAACGGGUGAGUAAUGCGUCGGAACGUGCCGAGUAAUGGGGGAUAACGCAGCGAAAGUUGUGCUAAUACCGCAUACGCCCUGAGGGGGAAAGUGGGGGAUCGCAAGACCUCACGUUAUUCGAGCGGCCGACGUCUGAUUAGCUAGUUGGUGGGGUAAAGGCCCACCAAGGCGACGAUCAGUAGCGGGUUUGAGAGGAUGAUCCGCCACACUGGGACUGAGACACGGCCCAGACUCCUACGGGAGGCAGCAGUGGGGAAUUUUGGACAAUGGGGGCAACCUUGAUCCAGCCAUUCCGCGUGAGUGAAGAAGGCCUCGGUUGUAAGUAC
rnacentral:rRNA from 1 species